AUGAACGCUGGCGGCGUGCCUAAUACAUGCAAGUCGAGCGCACAGACGAGGAGCUUGCUCCUCUGACGUUAGCGGCGGACGGGUGAGUAACACGUGGAUAACCUACCUAUAAGACUGGGAUAACUUCGGGAAACCGGAGCUAAUACCGGAUAAUAUAUUGAACCGCAUGGUUCAAUAGUGAAAGACGGUUUUGCUGUCACUUAUAGAUGGAUCCGCGCCGCAUUAGCUAGUUGGUAAGGUAACGGCUUACCAAGGCGACGAUGCGUAGCCGACCUGAGAGGGUGAUCGGCCACACUGGAACUGAGACACGGUCCAGACUCCUACGGGAGGCAGCAGUAGGGAAUCUUCCGCAAUAGGCGAAAGCCUGACGGAGCAACGCCGCGUGAGUGAUGAAGGUCUUCGGAUCGUAAAACUCUGUUAUUAGGGAAGAACAAAUGUGUAAGUAACUAUGCACGUCUUGACGGUACCUAAUCAGAAAGCCACGGCUAACUACGUG
rnacentral:rRNA from 1 species